rnacentral:rRNA from 1 species
UGGGGAAUAUUGCACAAUGGGCGCAAGCCUGAUGCAGCCAUGCCGCGUGUAUGAAGAAGGCCUUCGGGUUGUAAAGCACUUUCAGCGGGGAGGAAGGCGGUGAGGUUAAUAACCUCACCGAUUGACGUUACCCGCAGAAGAAGCACCGGCUAACUCCGUGCCAGCAGCCGCGGUAAUACGGAGGGUGCAAGCGUUAAUCGGAAUUACUGGGCGUAAAGCGCACGCAGGCGGUCUGUCAAGUCGGAUGUGAAAUCCCCGGGCUCAACCUGGGAACUGCAUUCGAAACUGACAGGCUAGAGUCUUGUAGAGGGGGGUAGAAUUCCAGGUGUAGCGGUGAAAUGCGUAGAGAUCUGGAGGAAUACCGGUGGCGAAGGCGGCCCCCUGGACAAAGACUGACGCUCAGGUGCGAAAGCGUGGGGAGCAAACAGG